UACGUAGGGUGCAAGCAUUAAUCGGAUUUAUUGGGCGUAAAGGGCGCGUAGGCUGGAGGAUAAGUCAGAUGUGAAAUCCCGGGGCUCAACCCCGGAACUGCAUUUGAAACUGUCUUUCUAGAGGGUAGUCGGAGGAAAUGGAAUUCCACAAGUAGCGGUGAAAUGCGUAGAUAUGUGGAAGAACACCGGUGGCGAAGGCGAUUUCCUAGAUUACUCCUGACGCUGAAGCGCGAAAGCAAGGGGAUCAAACAGG
rnacentral:rRNA from 1 species